GGGUCAAUAAGUGCAUUUUCAAAGGGGCCACUUUGUCCGGACUCUAUUUCAAAUUGUAUUCAUCCGAUCUUCACCAAACUUGGUCAGCAGUUGCAUCUAGUUGAUAUAUAGGCCAAGUUCGAAUAUGGGUCAUGCCGGGUCAAAAACUAGGUCAUAGGGUCAAUUAGUGCAUUUUCAACGGCGCCACUUUGUCCGGACUCUAAUUCAAAUUGUAUUCAUCCGAAACUUUUAAACAACUUUUUAUCCUGCGUCAAAGUGGUAUGGGGGUAUAUUGCUUAUUUCCAAAACAAAUACAUCAAUCAUCAGUGUAUCAUCUCCAAUGGCACACGAAUCGGGCGUAUAUUGCUCCGUCAUGCGGCGCUCUUGUUUAAUAUUGAAGAUAGCAACUUGAUAUUUGGCAUGCAUGUGUAUCUCAUGGAGCUGCACGUUUUGAGUGGUGAAAGGUCAAGGUCAUCCUUCAAGGUCAAA